CCAGAGUAUAUACCUUUUUAAAAGAGAUAUUUUAUUGACUUUUUUUUAGAAAGAGAGGCAGAGAGAGAGAAACGUUGAUCAGCUGCCUCCUGCACGCCCGGCUCCUGGCCCGUCCUCGCACCCUUCCUGGUCUUGUCUCCACGCCCCGUCGGCUGCUGCACUGACCCUGCCCUCCCUCCUCCCUUUUGUAGGGUCUGUCGUUCCAUCGGCCACUGAGAUGGCCCAGGGGACACCCCGUCUCAAGAUCCUUAAUCACACCUGCCAGUGACUUUUUUCACGAAGAUGCGGUUGUUUCACAGAUAUCGCCUCGAGAACCUCUCCGCUCCGCAGGCAUCUAUAAUAAUAAAAGCAUAAUAUGCUAAUUAGACCAGACAGCCGAACGACCUUCCGGACAUCAUUCCGGACGAAGCCGUGGUAGCGGGGGCUGAGACAGAGGCUGUGAGGGGCGAUCAGGUGGAAUGCAGGCCUAACUGUCCCACGGUCCAGCCACACACGUCCUUCGUCCCUGUUGGGAAACGGUGUCGGCCAAUGUGAGAUCCUGCGCCUUUGAUCCCGG